GAGUUUGAUCGUGGCUCAGGAUGAACGCUGGCGGCGUGCCUAACACAUGCAAGUCGAACGGAGUUACGAGAGCUUGCUUUUGUAACUUAGUGGCGAACGGGUGAGUAAUGCGUGAGCAACCUGCCCUUCAGAGGGGGACAACAGUUGGAAACGACUGCUAAUACCGCAUAAUGUAUUUAGGAGGCAUCUCCUGGAUACCAAAGGAGAAAUCCGCUGAAGGAUGGGCUCACGUCUGAUUAGCUAGUUGGUGAGGUAACGGCUCACCAAGGCUGCGAUCAGUAGCCGGACUGAGAGGUUGAACGGCCACAUUGGGACUGAGAUACGGCCCAGACUCCUACGGGAGGCAGCAGUGGGGAAUAUUGGGCAAUGGGCGAAAGCCUGACCCAGCAACGCCGCGUGAAGG
rnacentral:rRNA from 1 species